ensembl:lncRNA
GAGCUCCCAUUGAUUCCAGCGAUCAAACCAUGUACUAAGUGAUUCUUCAGACGCCCAAAUGGCUCCCUGAGCUAGACUCCCAUUGCCAUUUCCUGGAGAAAUCAAUACCACUAAAAAGCCAAGUCCGGAAAAAAGAAGAAGAAGAAGAACCUGUGUCCUUUAAAGUGAAAACCAUACAACCUGGCGAACCUGAUGUGGGCCUGGUGUCUUGACGCAGCGCUGGGCCUUUAGUGGGCCUCUGAUGUCGUCCUCAUCCUCCUCCAGGUUUUACGCAGAGCUGCACAUCACCGGAGUGUCCUUAGUUCACUCUUGGAUGCCUAAUAUAUAAGGGCCAGUACUACCCAUCGUCCUCUCUGAUGGCCAUACAGAGUCCAUUUACCUGCUGUUGAUAAUGAGGCAGAUAACGAAGCAGACAAAACUCGUCUAAUAUUUAGAGGUGAUGGAACUGGGUCUGGUUACACUCAUUUCAGAGUGAGUAGCGACAGUGAAAUUAAUCCUCGGCGACUCGUCGUUGGUGCUCAAUUGAUGGAGAGCAUGAGCACGGAGCCCCUCACUGGCUUGAAGUGGUUUCCACCUGGAAAUUCUGAAAUUGGAGCCCCGGAUCAUCUGUGUGAGAGGCUCUGCAGAACAAGCAGCUCGGUGGUGGUCUUGGUUGGGGAGGCGUGUUAAUCAGCGGCUCAUCUAUUAGUAAAGACCCAGCAGCAUCAUUGUACCGCUUGCUGCUGUUGCACCGGCAUCACUGCCACCUCGUCCACCCCCUGCCGUGCCAGUGAAACAGAGCUUGUAACAUGAGAGAGCACUGCCUGCCACCUAACACCAACACGAGAAACCUUGCACUCUGGCUCAAUUUAUUAUUAUGUAUAUGCUUUAAAAAAAAAAAUCAUACAUUAAACCUAAUACAAAUUUAUUCAGGUUACAGCACAUAAAAAAAAAAAUCUAAUUUCUGCUCUUGUAACUUAUUAAACCAUAAAGCUGGAGGCCUAAAGUCACAAAAAAGCAUACACUGUCUCUUUUAUACACAUAGAUUGGCUGAAAUUGCCUUUGUUAGAGAAUGUGCACACAAGGCAGGAUCACUGCUAAAAGCCUUGCUGUGGAAAGUGCUGUAGCCAACCGUGAUUGAUCAUAACUUGGAGCAGAUAGUCAUGAGUCUAAUGUGAAGCCUCGGGGCAUCAUAAUGCCUUAAAAGGCCACAGAGGCACAGGACACCUGACCACCCUGCUCAGCGUGGACCAAUCAGACAGCUGGUGAAUGGCUUUGGCAUUACGUCAUGCAGGCCCGCAGUUUGUCUUGACCAACGCACUGCGGAUAAAACAGAAGCUUUAAAUAUUUCAUUGAGGAUCUCAGGUUGCUGGACUUCUGGAGGUCAGGGCUGUGUGGAGACAUAGCCUCGCCCUCUUCUCCCUCCCUGCAUCCUCCUUUUCUGAUGCAGGAACAGGGUGUCGGGCUUUAGAAAGAGAGCGGGUUGCGACUGAGGACAAAGGAUGGAGCAGGAGGCGGCGCCCUCAUCUGGCCUGUUGGCGGACACUGCACUGAACUUUGAGACUGCCGUCAUAGCAAGGUAAAAUGGGCCAAAAAAGAGAUUUGAAGGACUCUGAAAAGUCAAAAAUUGUAGAAGUUCUUUCAGAGGGACGCAGAACUCUUGAAAUUACCAAGAUAUUGGGGGUGUGACUGACCACAGAACCAUCAAACGUUUUGCUGUUUUGCACCCAGAUGGAUGGGCCCAUGGCUGGAUCAGUAACGGACACAGAGCUGCACUUCGACUCAGACGCCAGCAAGGUGGAGGUGGGGUACUGGUAUGGGUUGGUAUUAUUAAAGAUGUGCUUGUUGGACCUCUUCGGGUUAAUGAUGGCCUCAAAAUCAACUCCAAAACCUACGGCCAGUUUUUAGAAGAGACUUUCUUCAAGCAGUGGCACAGGAAAAGGUCUGCAUCUUUCAAGAAGACCAUGAUUUUUAUGCAGGACAAUGCUCCGCCGCAUGCAUCAAAGUACUCCACUGCAUGGCUAGUCAGUAAAGGCCUUAAGGAUGAAAAAAAUAAUGGCAUGGUCCCCUUCCUCACCUGACCUAAACCCUAUUCAGAACCUGUGGGCCCUGCUUAAAUGGGAGAUUUAUAGUGUAGGGAAACAGUACACCUCUCUGAACAGUGUCUGGGAGGCUGUGGUUGCUGCAGCACAAACAGUUGAUUGUCAACAGAGCAAAAAACAUGUGACAGUUAUUGAAAAGAAGGGUGGCUAUAUUGGUCACUGAUUUUAUUUUUUUGACAUGUUAGAAAUGUUUAUAUGUAAAUUUUGAGUGGUUUUAUUCUUCUCACUUUAACAGAUGAAAAUAAACUAGUGAGAUGGGAAAAUGCUCAUUUUUCAUUUAGUUGCAUGAUAAUUCUGCACACUAAUAGUUGCCAAAUAAUUGUGCUUAUAUUCUCAUUCUCUUAAAGACAAAACCUCACUUUUACUUUCUUAAACAUUCAGGUUUAGGUUCAUUAACAUUUGGAUUGACCGAGUGCACUGUAG